CUGUGAGCUCGAUGAGUAGGGCGGGACACGUGGUAUCCUGUCUGAAUAUGGGGGGACCAUCCUCCAAGGCUAAAUACUCCUGACUGACCGAUAGUGAACCAGUACCGUGAGGGAAAGGCGAAAAGAACCCCGGCGAGGGGAGUGAAAAAGAACCUGAAACCGUGUACGUACAAGCAGUGGGAGCCUCUUAAUGGGGUGACUGCGUACCUUUUGUAUAAUGGGUCAGCGACUUAUAUUCUGUAGCAAGGUUAACCGAAUAGGGGAGCCGAAGGGAAACCGAGUCUUAACUGGGCGUUAAGUUGCAGGGUAUAGACCCGAAACCCGGUGAUCUAGCCAUGGGCAGGUUGAAGGUUGGGUAACACUAACUGGAGGACCGAACCGACUAAUGUUGAAAAAUUAGCGGAUGACUUGUGGCUGGGGGUGAAAGGCCAAUCAAACCGGGAGAUAGCUGGUUCUCCCCGAAAGCUAUUUAGGUAGCGCCUCGUGAAUUCAUCUCCGGGGGUAGAGCACUGUUUCGGCAAGGGGGUCAUCCCGACUUACCAACCCGAUGCAAACUGCGAAUACCGGAGAAUGUUAUCACGGGAGACACACGGCGGGUGCUAACGUCCGUCGUGAAGAGGGAAACAACCCAGACCGCCAGCUAAGGUCCCAAAGUCAUGGUUAAGUGGGAAACGAUGUGGGAAGGCCCAGACAGCCAGGAUGUUGGCUUAGAAGCAGCCAUCAUUUAAAGAAAGCGUAAUAGCUCACUGGUCGAGUCGGCCUGCGCGGAAGAUGUAACGGGGCUAAACCAUGCACCGAAGCUGCGGCAGCGACACUAAGUGUUGUUGGGUAGGGGAGCGUUCUGUAAGCCUGUGAAGGUGUACUGUGAGGUAUGCUGGAGGUAUCAGAAGUGCGAAUGCUGACAUAAGUAACGAUAAAGCGGGUGAAAAGCCCGCUCGCCGGAAGACCAAGGGUUCCUGUCCAACGUUAAUCGGGGCAGGGUGAGUCGACCCCUAAGGCGAGGCCGAAAGGCGUAGUCGAUGGGAAACAGGUUAAUAUUCCUGUACUUGGUGUUACUGCGAAGGGGGGACGGAGAAGGCUAUGUUGGCCGGGCGACGGUUGUCCCGGUUUAAGCGUGUAGGCUGGUUUUCCAGGCAAAUCCGGAAAAUCAAGGCUGAGGCGUGAUGACGAGGCACUACGGUGCUGAAGCAACAAAUGCCCUGCUUCCAGGAAAAGCCUCUAAGCAU
rnacentral:rRNA from 1 species